UACGAAGGGGACUAGCGUUGUUCGGAAUUACUGGGCGUAAAGCGCACGUAGGCGGAUUUGUAAGUCAGGGGUGAAAUCCCGGGGCUCAACCUCGGAACUGCCUUUGAUACUGCAAAUCUCGAGUCCGAUAGAGGUGGGUGGAAUUCCUAGUGUAGAGGUGAAAUUCGUAGAUAUUAGGAAGAACACCGGUGGCGAAGGCGGCCCACUGGCUCGACACUGACGCUGAGGUGCGAAAGCGUGGGGAGCAAACAGG
rnacentral:rRNA from 1 species